AAUCUGGCGCAAUGGGCGAAAGCCUGACGCAGCCAUGCCGCGUGAAUGAUGAAGGUCNNNGGAUUNUNAAAUUCUUUCACCGGNGANNUUAAUGACGGUACCAGGAGAAGAAGCCCCGGCUAACUUCGUGCCAGCAGCCGCGGUAAUACGAAGGGGGCUAGCGUUGCUCGGAAUUACUGGGCGUAAAGGUCGCGUAGGCGGAUGGUUAAGUCAGAGGUGAAAUCCCAGGGCUCAACCCUGGAACUGCCUUUGAUACUGGCGAUCUUGAGUAUGAGAGAGGUAUGUGGAACUCCGAGUGUAGAGGUGAAAUUCGUAGAUAUUAGGAAGAACACCAGUGGCGAAGGCGACAUACUGGCUCAUUACUGACGCUGAGGCGCGAAAGCGUGGGGAGCAAACA
rnacentral:rRNA from 1 species